AGUCAUAUCACUCAGUGUACAGAAUGGCUACAUCCGCUAUUUUGUGUGAACCAUCUUCCAGUAUAAAUAAGAGAGCUACAUGUAGUCUACCAGAGUCAAGGACAUGACACCAAUCUUGAAAUCAUCAUCUACAUGGAAUAUCGGGUGUACAGAUUUAUUGGUAUUAAGUCAUAUCACUCAGUGUACAAGAUGGCUACAUUCCCUAUCUUGUGUGAACCAUCUACUAGCAGAAGUCUACCAGAAACAAGGACAUGACAUAAAUCUUUAUAUCAUCAUCUACAUGGAAUGUCUGGUGUGAGCAGUUAUUGGUAUUUAGUCAUAUCACUCAGUGUGCAGAAUGGCUACAUCCCCUAUCUUGUGUGAACCAUCUUCCAGUAUAAAUAAGAGAGCUAGUCUACCACAGACAAGGGCGUGACACCUAUCUUGAUUUUAUCAUUUACAUGGAAUGAUGGGUGUGAAUAUUUAUUGGUAUUAAGUUAUAUCACUCAGUGUACAGCAUGGAUACAUCAUCUAUCUUGUGUGAACCAUCUUCCAGCAUAAACAAGAGAGCUUAUCUUAUAAUCUACCAGAGAGAAGGAAAUGACACCAAUCUUGAAAUCAUCAUCUACUUGGAAUGUCUGGUGUGAACAGUUACUGGUAUUUUGUCAUAUCACUCGGUGUACAGAAUGGCUACAUCCCCUAUCUUGUGUGAAACGUCUACCAACAAAAAUGAGAGAGCUAGUCUACCACAGACAAGGACAUGACACCUAUCUUGAUACUAUCAUUUACAUGGAAUGAUGGGUGUGAAUAUUUAUUGGUAUUAAGUUUACAUCUGCAGUCAUAUCACUCAGUGUACAACAUGGCUACGUCCCAUAUCUUGUGUGAACUAUCUACUAGCAGAAAUGAGAGAGUAAGUGUACCAGAAACAAGGACAUGACAGCAAUCUCAUCUUCUUCAUGGAAUGUCACGAGUGAGCAGUUAUUGGUAUUUAGUCAUAUCACUCAGUGUGCAGAAUGGCUACAUCCCCUAUCUUGUGUGAACCAUCUUCCAGUAUAAAUGAGAGAGCUAGUCUACCAGAGUCAAGGAAAUGACACCAAUCUUGAAAUCAUCUACAUGGAAUGUCGGCUGUAAAAAUUUAUUGGUAUUAAGUCAUAUCACUCAGUGUACAAGAUGGCUACAUCCCCUAUCUUGUGUGAACCAUCUACUAGCAGAAGUCUUCCAGAAACAAGGACAUGACAUCAAUCUUUAUAUCAUCAUCUACAUGGAAUGUCUGGUGUGAGCAGUUAUUGGUAUUUAGUCAUUUCACUCUGUGUACAGCAUGGAUACAUCCCUUAUCUUGUGUGAACCAUCUUCCAGUAUAAGAGAGAGAGAGAGCUUAUUUACUAGAGAGAAGGAAAUGACACCAAUCUUGGUAUCAUCAUCUACAUGGAAUGUCUGGUGUGAACAGUUAUUGUCAUAUCACUCAGUGUACAACAUGGCUUCAUCCCUCAAUACAUCUUGUUGUUUGAAGGUUUGCAUGGUGGCAUGUACAAUCGCUGAUGUGGUUUACGGUACACCAAUCAGUCGCCGACUCUCUCAUCAGAUGAGCCCACCAACUCAGCGACAAGGCAUACCUACAACAGGAACUCAAGCAUUUCACCCACGCACUCACCACCAUCACCCAAUACCCCAGAAGAAGGAUCAACACUCAACCUUCCCACCACCAACCCAGCACCAACAGCACCGAAAACCCAUCCAAAACCAAGCCUAUCGCCACCAUAGUACUUCCCUACAUUGGCAAGACUUCACACCAACUACAACGUAUCCUCCACUCUGCCAACAUCCUCGUCAGACACCAAUUCUCUUGCAAGCUACACUCCAUCCUUCACUCCCACAAGGACAAGCACACAUCCAACAAGCAACCAGGCGUCUACAAGAUCCCCUGCGACUGUGGCAAAGUCUACAUUGGAGAAACCGGCCAAGACUUCGACACCAGACUCAAGGAACACAAGACCCACCACCGACGCAGCGGCUGGGACCGAUCUGCCAUUGUCAAACACGCACAACAAGAAAAUCACCCCAUAGACUGGGACAAGAGCCACUUAAUCACCAACAUCCGUCACUGGAAUACCAGAAGGGUUAGGGAAGCCAUUGAGAUACAUCAACACAGCACUUUACCUCAAGUCCCUGGCCUCCGCAUCAACAGCAUCUGGCACCCAAUCCUACGUCUCCACCCAGCUUCCAACCAAUCCACAAGCAACCCACCGUCCACCAUCACUCUACCAAGCCCACCUACCCAGCACAACAGUCCAAUUGUACCACCAACCCAACCAGCGACUUCGCCGACGCACACACCACCUACACCUCGCUAUAACCUCCGCCGACGACCCAACACCACAUCCGUACACCAGGCCACCCACUCACUCCAGCCAAAGCCUACCCAAAGAAUCUGCCGACCAACACGCACAGAGCGCCGCAACUAUUCCCGCCGUCUACGCACCACGUCCGCAUACCAACACCACUCGUUUCCCGCCAAAACCGCCGACCCACGCACAGAGCGUCACCUAUGACAUCAGCCCGCCGUGACCGCCGGCCCAGCGCUUUCCCCCACGUCCGCACGCACUCCACAAGUACCGCCGCACGCUGAGCGAACACUCACUCCUGAAGACAUACAGUCAACCUGCCCGAAACGUCAAGUCUGUCUUCUGCUUCUACUCAUCAUUUCUACUCGCCGACUCAAGCCAGCAACUCAUUCAUCCUACUACUCAAGCUGUUUCUUCAACUCAUCAAUCUCUUCUGGUUUACAGUCCUUUUCAGGACUACUUUCAAGAAAAGAAUACUCUACUCUCAAAUUUCCACUUUCUCGCCUAUCCAAUUCCUUUUCUUCUUCUUUCCACUGUUUUUAUAACACUCCACAUGGUGUACCAUAAACCACAUCAGCGAUCCCCUAUCUUGUGUGAACUAUCUUCCAGCAGAAAUGAGAGAGUUAGUCUACCAGAAACAAGGACAUGACACCAAUCUUGAAAUCAUCUCCAUGGAAUGUCGGGUGUGAGCAGUUAUUGGUAUUUAGUCAUAUCACUCAGUGUACAACAUGGCCACAUUUCCUAUCUUGUGUGAACCAUCUUCCAGCAUGAAUAAGAGAGCUAGUCUACCACUGACAAGGACAUGACACCAAUCUUGAAAUCAUCAUCUACAUGGAUUGUCUGGUGUGAGCAGUUAUUGAUAUUUAGUCAUUUCCUUCAGUGUACAAGAUGGCUACAUCCCCUAUCUUGUGUGAACCAUCUACUAGCAGAAAUGAGAGAGCUUGUCUACCACAGACAAUUACACGACAGCAAUCUUGAUAUUAUCAUCUACAUGGAAUGUCUGGAUUGAGCACUUAUUGGUAUUUAGUCAUAUCACUCAGUGUACAGCAUGGAUACAUCCUCUAUCUUGUGUGAACCAUCUUCCAGCAUGAAUAAGAGAGCUAGUCUACCACAGACAAUUACAUGGCACCAAUCUUGAAAUCAUCAUCUACAUGGAAUGUCUGGUGUGAGCAGUUAUUGAUAUUUAGUCAUAUCACUCAGUGUACAACAUGGCUUCAUCCCGUAUCUUGUGUGAACCAUCUACUAGCAGAAAUGAGAGAGCUUGUCUACCAGAAACAAGGACAUGACACCAAUCUUGAUAUUAUCAUCUACAUGGAAUGUCUGGUGUGAGCAGUUAUUGGUAUUUAGGUGAGUUACACAUGUGACAUUUGCUUCCGAGUCAAUUGCUCCUUCCCUAAUGGGGUUAGUGUUAUAACAUGGGUGUUGGUUCUUCAGUGUAGGAUUAGCAUUGGGUUAGAGGUCAGGGUUAUGUUUAGCUUCCUCCAGAAGAGCAAUUGUCUCAGGAGCAAAUGUCAAGGAACCCUUAUUUGCAAGCCAAAUGUGACAUUGUUCUUGAAACCCCAGUUCUUAGUUUUAUCGUGGGUACUGUACAAUGUAUAGAUUGUAAAUUUAGGUCGAGGUGCGUCAUUGUGAUUUUUUUUUCUUUUUUAGGUGCAGUUUCUAUUUCAUCAAAGGUUGAGGGAUUUAAUUCAUUCAGCCCCCAUUUUUAUUUUCGAGGGGGGGGGAGCAAUUUUAUAGGUGAUUAAAUUGCAAAAUGUCAGCUUAUAGAGUACUUUCAAGGACAAUGUCACAUUUUGACUUGCAGAUUCCAGAUUAUUUUGAGGAGAGGGGGGGAGGUGAAUGUUGCAAAAUGGAUUGAUGUUGAUGGCAAUUAUUUUCAUUCUUUUCAAUUAAUUGAGUUUUCAUACCAAAGCAACCAUGUCGACUUAUGUUAUGCAAUAUUCCUAUAUCCACUCUAUUGAAUACUUGACCAAUCAACCCAUUAUUUUUCCAUGGUCAUAAAGUUAUUAGUAUCAAAAGGUUCUUAAUUGCCAACAAGUAAAACAAUACAUUUUGCAACAUACUUAGUUUACAAAGGUGAACUUCACAAAAUGUAAUUUUAGAUUCGUUUGAAGAGCAUUUUCUGACAUUGUACUGAAUACACGUUUGAUUUGUAUUUUAUUUUCAAUCAAGUAUUUAAUUUGUAUUUUUGAUAAUUAUUGAUUCACUAAAAGGGCAUGGAAAAUAUACCAGUUUAACCAGACAAGAAUUGACAAUGCUAAAGAGAAGUAAUCUUCUUUGGACAAUGUUUUUAAAGUUUUCAAAUGUUUCUUGCAUUGAUCACAAAAGGUUUGAAAUCAAUAAUCGGAAGUUUGUUACAUUCUGUUUGCUGAAGUAAUUGUUAAAUCAGGUUUAAUUUAAGCAUACAUUUCAUGAAUUUCACCGGAUGUAUUGAGGGGCUUUCACAAUUAGUUGUUUUAUCGUUUACGACCAAUGCUAUUGUCCGCAAAGUGUAAUCAAAAGCUUGCACAACUAAGUGUGAAAGCCCCUGUAGAUGGGGGGGGGGGAGUAGAUGAGGGAAAGACAGAGAGGGAAGGGAGAGGAGACAGAGAGUGAUAGAUGGGAGAGAGAGAGAGAGAGAGAGAGGUGGAGGGGUAAUAAAUACAAGUCACACAAAGGUGGUGUAAUAUGAUCAUUUAAUAACCAAUCGUCCAGGCAAAAUAAAUUUAAAAAUUAGGCCAAUAAUGUAAUAGAGUACCAAAGUGAUUACGUCACAAUUUUUUUUUUUUUAGCAUUUCAGCGUUUUUGGAAUUGGCACAUGCGGGCCUUUAGAUAUGACCUCAUGAAUACAUAAUUGGCAACAUUUUAGUCAGUGUAUUAAUGGGGCUAAUUAUAUAUUCAUGAGGCCAUAUCUGAGGCCCCCAUGGACCGAUUCUCACCAAAUUUGGGUUGUGGGGUUUUCAUCAUGCUAUACCAAAAUAUGGUAUCAAAAACGCUGAUAUGCAAAAAGUGAAAAUUUAUGAUGUCACACUUCGGUACUUAAAUUUGCAAACAUGUUUGUUGCAGAGAUACUUAUCGUUCGGAUUUUUCUAGUGCACUUCAGAUAUUAGGUAGAAUACGGUAGCCCGAUUUCUCUGAUGAUACAUGAUGAUGCUUAACUUUAAAAAUUCGUUAUUUUGCCUGGACGAUUUGGGGAUUUCAAAUAUACAUAAAUUCUUAACAAAGUUUAUUUUUGAUAAUCUUAAGCAGACACGAUCUAGCAGCCUUAAUUGCACCACCAGAGUCUUCAACUUCUCAAAUCUAUCAAAAGUUUAAAACCCAUAACAAGCAUUGUAUUCUUGUUAUGGGUUGUAUAACAAUCAGAGUAUAAUUUGAAAAAAAUCAAUCCGUGAAUCAUAAGAAACUGUAAUCUCAAAUUUAUGAUAGCAAUCUGUUGGACAAUAUUAGAGCAACCUGCAUGAGAACAUUACAAAACUAAGUGAAAUACACAUUUACUUCUAAAAAGUGACCAAAUCUGGCUCAUUUUGUUUUCCCCAAUUUUGAGCCCUCGCAUCUUUAUCGUUAGUAAUCAUAAGGCAUUGUUUUACCACCCAGAAUUGAUAAUUGAAAUGCAGUAUUUAAAAACUGAAAACCAUCAAAGCUACAAAUAAUUUCAUUAUUAAAAGCUACAAAUAAUUUGAUUUUUUCAAUGACAUUUAACCCCAAAUGAGGUGCCAAUUCUGUCUAAAAAUGUCUUCUCCGAAUUCGGUGUUUUUGUACUCAUUGUUAAUAGACAUUACUUGAUUAACAUGCUUGUGGGUGUACAAGAAGACUUGUCUACAUGUACAUACAACAAACUGAGAAUAGAUGUUCCCAUGUUGUCAAAUCCAUUUCUGUCCAAAGUGUCCUGUCUAUAAAAAAAUAAUAAUGAAACUGGCAGAAAGUGUAAUAAAAAGAUUGGACCCCCAUGAAAUAAUAAGUGGCUGUCCUCUUGCCUCACAAUUAAUAGAUAAGAAAUAGAUAUCUAAUCACUUGUAUAUACCAACACACACUUUAAAUUGAGAAAAAAAACAAAGCAAUCUCAUUUUUAGUCAAACGAGACAGCUAAGUAAACGCUGAUUGUAAAACAAUCAUUGGUCUACUUAAAAGGGAAGUUCUAAAUAUGGCCGAAGGUGUGAGAAAAAUCCAUCGAAGGGUUAAAAAGUUAUUAGAAUUUCAAUUAUUUGAUUUGUGACGUCAAAUGCGAGCAGCAUUCCUACUUAGCGAAUGGUAAAAAAAAAUCAAUGAAAUGUCAUUUCGUCGGAAAAUUGAAAAUGUUUUUUACUGUACCUUUUGAAUAUCAAUAGGCAAAUCAUUUCACACCCUGUCGUGAAAAGAAAACAAAAAUAAGUCAUCAGGAACCAUUAAAAAAUGAAAUUCAUUAAUUUUAUAUUACAUAACAUAUGGGGUAUAGCUGCUCAUUUAUGACGUCACAAAUCCCAAAAUUAAAAUUCUAACGGAUUUUCAUCAAAUCUUCACAUUAUUUUAAAUUAUAGGCCUAUUUAUCUGCUAUUUUUAC